rnacentral:rRNA from 1 species
AUUGAACGCUGGCGGCAGGCCUAACACAUGCAAGUCGAACGAGUGGCGGACGUGUGAGUAAUGUCUGGUAAACUGCACCAUGGAGGGGGAUAAAUACUGGAAACGGUAGCUAAUACCGCAUACUAACGGAUGUGUCCAUCUGGUAUUGGCUAGUGGGUGGGGUAAAGGCUCACAUAGGCGACGAUCCCUCGCUGGUCGGAGAGGAUGUCCAGCCACACUGGAACUGAGACACGGUCCAGACUCCUACGGGAGGCAGCAGUGGGGAAUAUUGCACAAUGGGCGCAAGCCUGAUGCAGCCAUGCCGCGUGUAUGAAGAAGGCCUUCGGGUUGUAAAGUACUUUCAGCGAGGAGGCGUUACUCGCAGAAGAAGCACCGGCUAACUCCGUGCCAGCAGCCGCGGUAAUAC